rnacentral:lncRNA from 1 species
UCCCAGGCCAGGGGUUGAAUGAGAGCUGUAGCUGCCAGCCGACAUCACAGCCACAACAACACCGGAUCUGAGCCACAUCUACAACCCACACCGCAGCCUGCAGCAAUACCAGAUCCUUAACCCACUCAGCAAGGCCAGAAAUCGAACCCACGUCUUCAGGGAGACAACGUCAAGUCCUUAACCCACUGCACCACAACGGGAACGCCUCGUGUCUCCUUUUUGAUACCCUGGGGGUGCUCUGUGAAUUUCUGGAGCACUGGAAUGAAAAGCAGCUCUCACAUGAUCCACAGGCUAUCUACCUCUGUGUAUGCAGCACGUGUGUGUGUGUGUGUGUGUGUGUGUGUGUGUGUGUGUGUCACAUCUCUAUCUAGACACGGAAUGAGAUGCUCAACACUGGUACCCAGAUCUGAUCCCCAGACCCAUGAUCCCACCUAUAGACUACCCAGAUCCCAGAACCAGGAAAUUGCCCAGUCUUAGCUUUGGAAUUAACCUGAAAGCUAUUCAUUUAAAAGCACAAGGCAGUUACUUACUAUACAACAUUUAGUAGACGUUCUCCCUCUUUAUUCUCUCUUGGGUUCUUUUUCUCUUACCCAUCUCCAUUGUUUACCUCACAGACGAAGAGGGCCAGUUACAGAUGAGUAAGGACCAAUAAUGAUGCUUUUAGACCAUUUGAGGAUUUCAGUUCUUCCAUCCCACCCAUCAACCUGGCGGACCCUACAUGUUCACUUGCAUUCAAUACCCUCACUGUGUAUCCAACCCCAGGAAAAAAAAAAUGCUAUGUGUGCUCAGUUUCUCCAGUGAGCCUUCAGCUGAUCCCACUCCAUCUAUUAAAAACAAGCAAUAACCCUUCCCUCGCCUUCCCAGCUGAAGGCACAGUGGAGCUUGUGAUCCUACAAGACCAGAAGCCCUCUCCUCCCCGCCUACCCUGUGCCACCAGGGAGCCUGAAAACUGAAAAAGAGGAAAGACGAGGGGGUAAAAAGGACACUGGAAGAGCCAGUACAAAGCUGCAGUGAGGAAACACAGCUUUAUCUGGUGGUAACGCAAUCAGGGCUGGAAGGACAAACCAAAGCCACCAGAGGUUUGUAAAUCACGCUCUCCCUGUACCUACUUUGGCGCCAAGACAAACACAGAGCAGAAGGCAGACGUGGUGAAAUGGUGCGCUCCCAGGGUCCCGCUAAAUGAAGUGUGGGAUCCGUAUGCAGAUUAUGGAAAGUGUUUUGCACAGACCCAUCCUUGCUAAGCAGUGAAGCCCAGCCAGCUCUGCAUCUGUGUCUCCGAAGCCACACUUCACACUCGCCAUCCUCUCCACAUUGGGGCUCUCUGGGCAUUGGUAAUUUUUUUACCCGGGCUGCUUUGUCCGAAUUCACAGGAGACCUAAGUCCUUGGCCAGCCUGUGGGGGCCUCUGGGGAGAGAGCCCCGUGGGCAAGCUCCCGAGGUUGGGUGUUCCCUGACAUCGUUAUCUGGCCAUAAACCUGGUCUGCGGGGCUGCUAUUGUCAUGACACGGGCCUGAGGAUCACUGGGCCAAUCCAGCUGAGCACCUGUGCCAGGACGGCCUUGGGUGCCAGAGGAGCCAUUUCCACCAAUGCUGACCUGCCAGGAGACCCAUUUCCUCUACUUAAAGGCCUGGGCCUAGCAAGCCAGGGCCAAGACUGCCCAGGCCCCAUUUUCUGGUCUUACGUGUGGGGUCACCACAGGGACCACAGUAAAAGGGCCUGAAAGGGACAUCUCAUUGACCUGCUGGCUGCUCUGGGUAAGACCUUCCACCCCAAGCUCAGGCCUUAAGAGGAAGGAGCCCCUUGGGCUCUGCCGGACCUCACGUUCACUGAGUGCUUUCUGAAUCCCAAGAUCCAAGGAGGCUUUGGAGAGGCUGGGUCACAUCCUCCGGGGGCGACAGGCACUGAGUGAAGGCAGCAUGGCAGAAAGAGGAUGGAGGCCUUCAAGUGGAGCACCCACAGGGCAUCCUUCCAGCUCACCUCUCCUGGGGCUGACCAGUACCACCAAGUGCCAGAAUAGGUGGGGCAGAGCUGGGGAGCAGCCAACUCCUUGGGUUUAGGGUGUUCAUUAGGGUCGGAAAGGGCACCCCACACAUGGCGUAAAUGGACGGAUUCACCCGGAGAACACCAACACCAGCAGGAUGGAUUCUGGUGAAGAAAGGAGCAGAGAGAUGGACACAGGCAACGCUUUUGAUUUUGGAGAGAUCUGGACAGUUACCAGCCCUGUGAGUAGCUGCACUAUAAAAAGAGUCAGACACUAAGUAUUUCCUUUCCCAUAAAAUAUUCAUUGCCGCAUGGAAGAGCCAAGAAGCCGAAACCUCAAGCACGUCUAACUUCGUGCUGCAGUAAUAACAGAGUUUUAUAGGAACCUUCUGAUUGUAUUUAUACCAGGCUAUAAAUACAAUUCCAUCUGAGAGAGAGGAGGGGAGACACAUCUAGGCCCCCUCAGAGUCUGCAGGGGAAGGAGAAAGACCCCAGGUACCACCCAUGGCUCCAUUUAGCAUCUCAGCUAGAAGACGGCCGAUGGGGAGAUCCAGUCUUCCUUAAAGGAGAGCGUGCAGAGCAGGCUGGACUCCUCACCAACAAUGCUGGGGAUGCACCCAAAACCUGGUUUACAAAUGGCACUGCUCUUACUUAACACCGGAACCAUGUCCCGAGUGCCUGAUGUUUACUCAGCUCUUUGCAAUUUACAAAGUGCUUUCCCACCCCCUUGAUCCUCAAACCAAGCCUGGACAGGGGUCUUAUUGUCCUCAUGAGCCUCAGGAAGGUUAAGCAACUUGUUCAAGGUCACAGAGCUAGAAGGCGGUCAGCUCAACCAGGCCGAGAUGCGGGCCGCCUGACUCCACCUCUCGUCCUCUCUCCCUGCGCACCCCCCGCCACCCCCGAGGUACAAUGUAAGGCAAAUCUCUAAAACUCCACCCAAGAGAUGACCCACGCCUCAGUCUGCAUGGCUCCACCCUCUGUGAUUGAUCUGGAAAAUCAGUCAGUCUUGCAAGGACAGAUUUUUCCUUCUUCGUUUAUAUGAAAUAAAGAACCCCUGCCAGAGGGCACCGUGGAUUGGUAAUCUGCACAUUAAACCAAGCAUUGAACAUCUUUCCUUCAACUACUCACAUGCAUUCACCAGUCACACCGACUUCACUUAACUAGACUCUUACAGUGUCCUAGAAAGAGGGUGUGGGUUAAUACAAAGAUGCGAAAUACAGAUCCAGAAUGUCUGACACCGAAGUUUCAUCUGAGAUUAAGUUCACAGUAAAAGCGUUUCCUGUACUGUAAUGAAAGGCCCUAAAGCCUUCCUAACUCUCCCCAAACAAGUUCGAUUUUGCUUUAAAGACUUUGUAGUAUAGGGACCCAUCGUCUUCCAACGAUGUCUUCCAAGAGGAUCAAAGACAUAGGAUAUGCAAAAUCCUCCCAUUUGCCUUUGGAUGCACCCACCAAACCCAAACCAGCCAGGGUCCGCCAAAGGCUCACUAAGGGUCAUUCAAAACCAAUAAACGGGGAUGCCCUGGGAGGACGGAGUUAGUAGAUGCCAAGUAUUACAUUCAGAAUGGAUGAGCAAGGAGGUCCUGCUGUACAGCACAGGGAACCGUGUCCAGUCUCAGGAUAGAACCCGAUGGGGAAUGAUAUAAGAAAAAUUGUGUGUGUGUGUGUGUGUGUGUGUGUGUGUGUGUUGGCACAACAUUGGAAGUCAACUAUAUUUUAAUUUUUAAAAAUACAAAAACAAAACAAAACCAAAUCAAAUUACCAGGAUACAGGUCUAGAUCUGCAUAUUCUGGAAACCCUGCCAAAGGUGCCAAGGCCAGGCCAUCCCUGACCUGCAGGAAGUAGCAUGAACCUUGUCUCAUCAGAAAGUUCUGCUGCAAGUCUCUGAGAAGUUAGUUUGCGGGUUGCAAAGACAAAGAGAAAAGGGUGAGCCACGGCCCCCUCUGGGAUUAUUUAUUCUGCUUAGUUCAAUCCGAAGCGAGUGUGGCCCUAAUGGUUUUUAAUGGUCCUAAAUGAUUCAGUGAAUCUGAGCAUUCACUGGCAGGCCAUCUGGGGACAGGCCUGCCUAUCUGCAAACUGGCAGGCUUCCCUAUUUGUUCUAUGGAACAAUAAAUGUCAAUGAAUUAGAGGCUUCAAUGAUUCAGAACAUUUCCAGCACCUGAUUCUUCUGAAAAGCCAGAUCCAUGAAAACAAAAUAUUUUGUGUGCAAGAAUUUAGUCAAAAUUUUUGGACCCCAAAUUUUAAAGAUAUGUCCUAAACGGGCAUUUCUCGAUCUCAGCACUAUUGACAUUUCAGAGCAAAUAAUUGUUUGUAGUGGGGGUGGGGAAGGGGGCCUCCCCGCUCACUGUUAAGGAGCUCAGACGUGUCAGUGGCCUCUACCCACUACAUACCAGGAACAGCUUCCCUCAGCUGUGACAACUAAAAGUGUCUCCAUACAUUGCCAGAUGUGUCCUGGGAGCCAGAACUGUCCCCGGUUGAGAACCACCUUCUUGGAGUAAAUAUUAACUCAAACCAGUUCUACACUUUCCAUGCGACAUGUGUAAUCAUAAGUAAGAACCAAGGACGAGCCCUCAUAUGCCGCAAGAUCAUGAAAUGUCAAAGGAUUCAAUUAUGUCACUCUUUGGCACUUAGAAAGCAGAAAAGCGUACUAUUUUGGUUUUGCAAAAGCCUUUCAGCAGCGCUUAUAACCAAAAGGAUUGCCUAGUUAAGCCUCGGUUAGCCAGAAAACAUUAACGAAUUACCACAGCUUCAUCCCCAAAUAUUCUAGGUAACUGUAUUUUAUUGUAUGAGCAUACACAUAAUAUACAGUAUCACCUUAAGCUAUACUUAUUUAGCCUCAUAUGGAGAUUCAACUAUCGGCUCACGUCUUGGAUUGAAUAGAGGGCUGAAAGCAUCUACUUUAUUUAGGAGCGGUUGGGAGAGGGAAUUGGGAAGGCAAUUGCAGAGGAGAGAAAAUGAAGUUUUGAUCACCGCACUGGAUGCUGUCCUUUCGGUGGUCCAGAGCUUGGUAAUAAAAGCCACUGCAAGCCUGGAGACUGUUGUCUACCUCGUUCCCACCCAAACCAUACACAAGGCUCACACAGAUCUUUAUAGGCACACGCUUGCAAGCACACACACUGAUGCAAGCCCAGCCAAUGAUACUGACACUUACGAAUGAUGCCUGGUCAAGCACAUCCUCGUGGCUCCCUCGGGCCACAGCAUCAGUCCUGGAUUCACAUGCCACUUCUCAACUAACCUGACAAAUGAAACUGGAAAGGGGCAGGGGGUGUAUAAAGAUCACACGCAAAUACAUCUGCCCAUCCAAGAUCCUCCACGCUGCUGGGUCUCCAAGAGGGCUGGAGAGUUUCCCGGCUCUCUCCAAUAGGCGCCAUCCAGGUGCAUGGGAGCAUCCAAGCACAUGCUCGCCCAAAGACCCAGGCAGUCACCGGGGUGGCACGUCCUCUCUGGGGGAAGGCCACACCCUAGGAACAUUUGCUUGUUCCUCCCACAAAGAGGAUGAGCUUACAAAGCCAAGAGGCCUCUCUCCCAAGCUAAGAAGCAGAAACUUUUCCUAAGUGAGAGCAAAACAAAGCCUGCCCUUCCCCUCCGCAUCCUGCCACUCUCCAGGACUAUCAUUAAGAGACACGAUUUCCACACACACCUUGCUCGUCCAAGGAAAUCAAUAUGAAAAUCAAUUCAUCCACUGAUAUAUUUUAUCAAGAUACAUGUGGCAAUGCCACAUUUCAUUUACAGUGGAGCCCUCGGCGAAGCCAAGGUCACGGGCUGGAAAGCGGGCUGCAGGAGGCAGGGAGGGGGAGAAGCCCAUAUUCUGCGCCGGCUGCAAAUAGAAAAGUGAAUGAAAUAGCAACAGAGAUAGAAAAGGGAGCCUGGGGAUGCAACAAUUACUGUAUGGAGGAGGCGCAGCGCCGGUCCAGCUUGUUUAAAUGUGAAAUAGUUGGUAGAUUUAGAAUUCUAAGUAUUUUUCUCCUGACCGUGGCAAACAAAAAUGGUUCCACUAGCGUGCCAGUCAGUAGAAUAGAAAAUAUUUGGGAGCAGGAAAUGAAGAGGGAGGAAGAAAAAGCAGGUGGGGUGGGGCGGAAGGCGAGAGAGACCAGACAGAACCUGGCCAAGACAAAGAAUGAAAGGGAACAGGCAGGAGGGCCAAGGGACACGUGCUGGGCGUGAGCGGAUGGCAGAAAGCAAACGGGAAUUUCAAUAAGCCUCAGGGAAGAAAAUUAUGAUAUCUGCAUGGCUGCAAAGGGGCAUAUUUUUAGUAAAUUUGAAAGUGAUUUGCCACACACGGCACCACCCCACUCGGAGGGCCCUCCGCCGGCUCCGGGAGCUGCGCCGUGGAUCAAAUGUACUCAGUAAUUGCAGAGUCACUGCUACCCUCUUACCUCUAAACAGAGCAGAUUAAAAUAGCAUGAACAGCUAUAAUAACAGGUUUGGGAUUCAGCGUUUUACAGCCAGAAAAAUGCUUAUGGAAAUAAGGAUUUUGCUGACUCUUUUCAAAGUGAAGUAAAGAAGAGAGAAAUAGGUAGUCCUGGAGUCAGAGAAUGAACAGUGUAGACCUCGGCCCAACAGGCUCGGGGCCGCAGCCCAGCCACCUCCCU